AGCUUAAACUGAUAAUUGUUUUUUGGUUUAGGUGGUCUGCGUGAAAAUGCAUGCCUUGUAGGUAGUUUUUGAAGGUUGUUUUGAGAUUAGAUGAUCCGCUAGUCAGACUAGCGGAUGUGGUGGUGAUCUGACAAGCUUCCAGGUGGCAAUGGUGAGGUGUCCAAAAGCGCAGGGAUCCGCUAGUGGAUGUCUGGGUGACUAAUCUCGAGACCCGCCCCUUUGACCCGCGGAUGUGGGUGCCAGGAUUAUAGGCUGAACCAGCUGGUGAGGUGGCAGGCUUUGGUGAGAUCAGCUGGUAGUACCAGCGGAUGUGAACAGCUCAAAGAACUUGUGAACUGUUUUUUUUUUCAUUGUUGCUACAAUUAUCUAGUUGGUAAUUUGAAUGGUUAUGAUAAUUGAUUAAUUUCUAUCUGGCUGAGGUGAUGGCAAUAUGUCCGGAAAAGGUGUUGUCGGCAUUCCCGCUCAUGGUACUUCAGAACGGUUGGGAUAUGGCAUAUGCUUGUACUAUUUACAUAUACGCCUGAAAAAAAGGCACUUUACAGGUUCUUUGGUACUACCAGCGGGAUUUUAACAUGUGUGCUAGCAUCACAUCUCUUAAUCUGUGCAUGUUGAAGCUUUCUAAAGAUUCGGCUUUUGGAAUAUAUUCCAAUGCGAGAUAGUGGCGUGGAACAGGCUACUGUUUGGAAGCAAAAUUGCUGCAAUAUCUCGAUCUGAUCUACAACUGUCGUGAAGUUUAAAUAGGGGAGGAAAUGCUGUGAUUCAGCAUGAAAUUGGCUGCUGUUUGGAAUCAGAAAUUAGCGGUGGAAGAGAUGAGAAACUCGGUUUGUAUUCACCAUAGUCACCCCGUUACUAGAAUAAAUUUGUUAAACUAUCAUUCUCUUUAAAGUUAGAGAGAAAAUGUCAUGAACAAAUUAACAAACUUAUAUAUUGAUUGUAGCUACUACUUGUCAUGAAUAAA